rnacentral:misc_RNA from 1 species
CUAAGUUCAGCGGGUGGUCCUACUCGAUUUGAGGUCAAGUUGUCAGUUGUUGUCCGAAGACGGUUUGAAGCACAGAGCUCCCGAUCAGCCACCCUCUAGUGAGGUGCCGGCGAAACACUUAUUACGCCGUACUAUGUCCAACCAAGAGUUGCACUAAUGCAUUUGAGGUGAGCCACAGUAAAGCAGCAACACCCAAGUCC